AGCGAACGCUGGCGGCAGGCCUAACACAUGCAAGUCGAGCGGCCGUAGCAAUACGGCAGCGGCAGACGGGAGAGUAACACGUGGGAACGUGCCCUUUGGUUCGGAAUAACGCAGGGAAACUUGCGCUAAUACCGAAUAAGCCCUUACGGGGAAAGAUUUAUCGCCAUUGGAGCGGCCCGCGUCUGAUUAGCUAGUUGGUGGGGUAACGGCUCACCAAGGCGACGAUCAGUAGCNGGUCUGAGAGGAUGAUCAGCCUCACUGGGACUGAGACACGGCCCAGACUCCUACGGGAGGCAGCAGGUGGGGAAUAUUGGACAAUGGGCGCAAGCCUGAUCCAGCCAUGCCGCGUGGAUGAUGAAGGCCUUAGGGUUGUAAAGCUCUUUUGUGCGGGAAGAUAAUGACGGUACCGCAAGAAUAACG
rnacentral:rRNA from 1 species